CAGCAGGCGAGAGGGAGCCGAACUCGCUGACCUCAGGGGGACCCGGCCGCUUUUAUCCGCUAGGCGCUGGCCGAUCGGCUUACACAGGUCCCUGAGCCACAUGGUUUGUUCACCAGAGAUGGAAUCCCCACGUUCCUAGGGUAGGAGGAGCUGGGAGGACAUUGCAACGGAGAAAAGGCCAGCACCAUGAGCCCACUCAGUGCCAGGCUGCACACACAAAUACCCUCUGGAGGGCUUCACAGAAGCUGUCAACAUGGAAAGUCCGAGGAUUAAAUUCCUGCCCCUCAAGAGUGCACACUCCAGGGGUUCUUCUAAACUCGGGCUCCCACCCCAUCCCAUGCCUCUGCUGGCCUCACAGAGACCAUCUUAGGAGAUACUGGGCAGAAUCUAGAGACUAAUUAAUCCCACAAAGCCUUUGCCUACCCCGUCUUCAUAGUGUUUUGUCACACACACACACACACACACCUGCCGAGCACACACUCACUUGUCCUCCCACUCCCCACCUGGUUUUCUCUGCACCCUCUGGACCCGGCUAUGAACAAACAAGCAGCCCCAGGUCCUCAGCCCUGCUGACCUUCACUAAAUCUGCCCAGACACUGCGGCCCCUCAGCCCUCGCAGGUGGAACUGGCUACUGCUCUCCGGAGUGGAGGGAGAGACAUUAUUUUUGGCUCCCUCCUGCACUUUCAGAACUAUUACUCAUUGUUCAUCCCCUAAAAUACAAUCUAGAUUCCUAAAGGGAAAAAAAAGGCAUGAUUUGUUUUUAUUGUCUUGCAAUUCAAAUGCUUGUAAUCAUAACAAAAGCCUGAGGGAAAAG